CCUACGGGAGGCAGCAGUGGGGAAUUUUCCGCAAUGGGCGAAAGCCUGACGGAGCAACGCCGCGUGAGGGAUGAAGGCCUCUGGGCUGUAAACCUCUUUUCUCAAGGAAGAAGAUCUGACGGUACUUGAGGAAUAAGCCACGGCUAAUUCCGUGCCAGCAGCCGCGGUAAUACGGGAGUGGCAAGCGUUAUCCGGAAUUAUUGGGCGUAAAGCGUCCGCAGGCGGCCCUUCAAGUCUGCUGUUAAAACGUGGAGCUUAACUCCAUCAUGGCAGUGGAAACUGUUGGGCUUGAGUGUGGUAGGGGCAGAGGGAAUUCCCGGUGUAGCGGUGAAAUGCGUAGAUAUCGGGAAGAACACCAGUGGCGAAGGCGCUCUGCUGGGCCAUAACUGACGCUCAUGGACGAAAGCCAGGGGAGCGAAAGGGAUUAGAUACCCUGGUAGUCCUGGCCGUAAACGAUGAACACUAGGUGUCGGGGGAAUCGACCCCCUCGGUGUCGUAGCCAACGCGUUAAGUGUUCCGCCUGGGGAGUACGCACGCAAGUGUGAAACUCAAAGGAAUUGACGGA
rnacentral:rRNA from 1 species